GUCUGGUUCAAAUCUGUGAACUGUAUGUCCCAGGAUAUUACAGUCAAGGCCUGGAGGCAGUGCAGCUCGAUGGGCAGGUCCUGUUCAGCUUGCUGAGGAAGGUCAGUUCUGUGGCAUACAGACACCUGAAGAAACACCAGGUUGACCCCCUCAUUUACAUGACAGAAUGGUUCAUGUGUCUGUUCUCUCGUACCCUGCCCUGGGCCACAGUGCUGCGAGUGUGGGAUAUGUUCUUCUGUGAAGGAGUGAAGGUCAUAUUCCGAGUAGCUCUAGUCCUCCUCAAAGUCAGCUUGGGAUCCUCAGACAAGCUGAAGGACUGUCAGGGGUUGGUGGAAACACUGGAGAAGCUACGGAACAUCCCACCCAGAUUCCUA